rnacentral:rRNA from 1 species
AUUGAACGCUGGCGGCAUGCCUUACACAUGCAAGUCGAACGGUAACGGGCCUUCGGGUGCCGACGAGUGGCGAACGGGUGAGUAAUGUAUCGGAACGUACCUUUCAGUGGGGGAUAACGUAGCGAAAGUUACGCUAAUACCGCAUAUUCUGUGAGCAGGAAAGCAGGGGAUCGCAAGACCUUGCGCUGAUUGAGCGGCCGAUAUCAGAUUAGCUAGUUGGUGAGGUAAAGGCCCACCAAGGCGACGAUCUGUAGCGGGUCUGAGAGGAUGAUCCGCCACACUGGAACUGAGACACGGUCCAGACUCCUACGGGAGGCAGCAGUGGGGAAUUUUGGACAAUGGGGGCAACCCUGAUCCAGCCAUGCCGCGUGAGUGAAGAAGGCCUUCGGGUUGUAAAGCGCUUUCGGCCGGGAAGAAAUCGUAUCAGCUAAUACUUGGUGCGGAUGACGGUACCGGCAUAAGAAGCACCGGCUAACUACGUGCCAGCAGCCGCAGUAACAC